GUCCAGUUUGUGGCGGACCAAAGCCAAAAACUUGCGAAGGUGAUCGCGAUAGGCGGCCACAUCCGGGUUGCAAGGCCCAUGAGACCGAUUGU
rnacentral:sRNA from 1 species